rnacentral:rRNA from 1 species
AGUCAACCUGCCCUAGAGACACAGACAACCCCGGGAAACUGGGAUUAAUCCGUGAUAGGUCAUCUCAUCUGGAAGGAGAGAUGGCUUAAAGGGGUGCGAGAGCUUCUUUCUUGUACUCGCUCUAGGAUGGGACUGCGGCCGAUCGGGCUGUUGGUGGGGUAAUGGCCCACCAAACCUGUAACCGGUACGGGCCUUGAGAGAGGGGGCCCGGAGAUGGACACUGAGAGAAGGGUCCAGGUCCUACGGGGCGCAGCAGGCGCGAAACCUUCGCAAUGCGCGAAAGCGUGACGAGGUUAAUCCGAGUGGUCCCCGCUGAGGGGAUCUUUUGUUGGCUCUAAAACGGCCAGUGAAUAAGGGGAGGGCAAGUCUGGUGUCAGCCGCCGCGGUAAUACCAGCUCCUCGAGUGGUCGGGGCGAUUAUUGGGCCUAAAGCAUCCGUAGCCUGUUCUGUAGGUCCUCUGUUAAAUCCAACGGCUUAACCGUUGGCCCGCAGAGGAUACCGCAGGACUAGGAGGCGGGAGAGGUGGACGGUACUCCACGUGUAGGGGUAAAAUCCUUUGAUCCGUGGAAGACCACCAGUGGCGAAGGCGGUCCACCAGAACGCGCUCGACGGUGAGGGAUGAAAGCUGGGGGAGCGAACCGGAUUAGAUACCCGGGUAGUCCCAGCCGUAAACGAUGCAAGCUAGAUGAUCCGGUCGCAAAUCGCGAUCGGAGUGUCGCAGGGAAGCCGUUAAGCUUGCCGCCUGGGGAGUACGGUCGCAAGACU